UUCCGGUUGAUCCCGCCGGAGGCUACCGCUAUUGGAGUUCGAUUAAGCCAUGCGAGUCGCGAGUCUUAGGGACUCGGCGUACCGCUCAGUAACACGUGGGUAACCUGCCCUAUGCUGGGGGAUAACCUCGGGAAACUGAGAAUAAUACCCCAUAAUUCACCACGCCUGGAACGGUGGGUGGACCAAAGCUCCGGCGGCAUAGGAUGGGCCUGCGGCGUAUCAGGUUGUAGGGGGUGUAAUGUACCCUCUAGCCCUCUACGCGUACGGGUGUUGAGAGACAUCGCCCGGAGAUGGAUUCUGAGACACGAAUCCAGACCCUACGGGGUGCAGCAGGCGCGAAAACUUGGCAAUGCGAGAAAUCGUGACCAGGGAACUCCAAGUGCAUCGGGUAAGACCGAUGCUUUUCUUGACUCUUCAAAGGUCUUGGAAUAAGGGGUGGGUAAGGACGGUGCCAGCCGCCGCGGUAAUACCGGCGCCCCAAGUGGUAGUCGCUUUUAUUGGGCCUAAAACGUCCGUAGCCGGUCUGGUACAUUCGUGGGUAAAUCAACCAGCUCAACUGGUUGAAUUCUGCGAGCACGGCCAGACUUGGGACCGGGAGAGGUGUGGGGUACUCUCAGGGUAGGGGUAAAAUCCUGUCAUCCUGAGGGGACCACCUGUUGCGAAGGCGCCACACUAGAACGGAUCCGACGGUCAGGGACGAAGCCUAGGGGCACGAACCGGAUUAGAUACCCGGGUAGUCCUAGGUGUAAACGCUGUGGACUUGAUGUUGGGGGCGCUCCGAGCGCACUCAGUGUCGAAGCGAAGGUGAUAAGUCCACUGCCUGGGGAGUACGGUCGCAAGGCUGAAACUUAAAGGAAUUGGCGGGGGAGCACCGCAACCUGAGGAUUGUGCGGUUUAAUUGGAGUCAACGCCGGA
rnacentral:rRNA from 1 species